UACAGAGGUCUCAACCGUUGUUCGGAUUCAUUGGGCGUAAAGGGUGCGUAGGCGGUCGUGCAAGUCGGAUGUGAAAUCUCAGGGCUCAACCCUGAAACUGCAUUCGAUACUGCGCGGCUAGAGUGCAGAAGGGGCAACUGGAAUUCUCGGUGUAGCGGUGAAAUGCGUAGAUAUCGAGAGGAACACCUGCGGCGAAGGCGGGUUGCUGGGCUGACACUGACGCUGAACUGCGAAAGCUAGGGGAGCGAACGGG
rnacentral:rRNA from 1 species